CAAAAAAAUUAAACAUCCCGCCUACUACGACUCCCCAAAUCACCCUAAAUCAUAAAUCCCUAAAUAUUAAGAACCCUAAUUUGCUCUUGAGAAAUGGUGCCUUAGAUCAAAAACUGUGAAUUCAACUUCGAAUUAGUUUAGGUUCGCUCAAUCAAGAACCUCCCCAUUCUAUAACUCAGAAAAGCAUCAAUGUACGCAUAUUGCACCUGUGCCAGAGUAAGUUGUUCGUUAUCCCAUAUGGUUAUCGUCACUGCCUCGGGCUUUAUCAACUCCUUCCUCAAGAUCUUUCUCGUAAAUUCUAUCAAUACUAACCUUUCUCUCAAUCAAUAAACCCUAACCUUUCUCUCUAUUCACAAGCCAGUAAUCCCGACAAAGAAGAUCAACAACAAAGACCAAGUGGUUUGAUUUCUCCCUAAAAUUGGUACAACUUCUCCUAAAUCCGACUUUCACUCCACUCUCUGAGUUUGUUUUCUCCCUAAUCGAUGCAUCCACCUUCUCGUCUCUCCCCCUCCACCAGGUUUUCUCUCAUCUCUCUCCUCCAUAGAUGAAUAUUGUCAGAGAUGUGAAGGGAGUAACCGAAGGAAACCCUAAAACUACUCUGAUUGCACAAACACUUCUUCUCCUGCAACUUUAGGCAGUUGUAUAUGGACUUGGAGUGUGUGCAGAGUAUGGUGGCUAUGUUAUAAAACCACUUGUUGGAGAGGAUCCGUCGAGGCUAAAUGUUGUAAUAAGAUACCCCUAAUGUUGUUCACCCUGAGAAUGUGAUGGCAUAUGAUAAUGCGAUUUCUGCUUUGGGAAAAAUAUGUCAUUUUCAUCACGAUGGUAUCGAAUCAGGUUAUUCUUGCAUGGUUAAGGUGUUUGCCAAUCAAAGGAGAUCUUAUCGAAGCCAAAGUUGUUCAUGAGCUGUUAUGUUCAAUGGUCGAAAGGU